rnacentral:rRNA from 1 species
UACAGAGGGUGCAAGCGUUAAUCGGAAUUACUGGGCGUAAAGCGUGCGUAGACGGUUACAUAAGUCGGGUGUGAAAGCCCCGGGCUCAACCUGGGAAUUGGCAUUCGAGACUGCGUAGCUAGGGUGCGGAAGAGGGAAGCGGAAUUUCCGGUGUAGCGGUGAAAUGCGUAGAUAUCGGGAAGGAACACCAGUGGCGAAAGCGGCUUCCUGGUCCAGCACCGACGUUCAGGCACGAAAGCGUGGGGAGCAAACAGG